UAAGGAAUAUUGGUCAAUGGGCGCAAGUCUGAACCAGCCAUGCCGCGUGAAGGAUGAAGGUCCUCUGGAUUGUAAACUUCUUUUAUCUGGGACGAAAACGGGAUUUUUAUCUCAAUUGACGGUACCAGAGGAAUAAGCACCGGCUAACUUCGUGCCAGCAGCCGCGGUAAUACGAAGGGGGCUAGCGUUGCUCGGAAUCACUGGGCGUAAAGCGCACGUAGGCGGCUUUCUAAGUCAGGGGUGAAAUCCUGGAGCUCAACUCCAGAACUGCCUUUGNUACUGGAAAGCUUGAGUUCGGGAGAGGUGAGUGGAACUGCGAGUGUAGAGGUGAAAUUCGUAGAUAUUCGCAAGAACACCAGUGGCGAAGGCGGCUCACUGGCCCGAUACUGACGCUGAGGUGCGAGAGCGUGGGGAGCAAACA
rnacentral:rRNA from 1 species